rnacentral:rRNA from 1 species
GCUGGCGCCAAUAGAGAGGGUGAUACACCUGUUCCCAUCCCGAACACAGAAGUUAAGCCCCUCAUCGCCGA